rnacentral:misc_RNA from 1 species
CUUUGAAUCUGUCAAAUUGUAUGAAUCUUGAAGAGGUUCAUCAUUCCCUGGGAUGUCUCAAAAAGCUCUGUACAUUAAAAUUGACUAAUUGUAAAUGGCUCAAGAGGUUUCGAGUUCUGUGCAUCGAUUCCCUUGAAUAUCUGAAUCUAGAGGGGUGCUCUAGUUUAGAAAAUUUUCCAGAAAUCCUCGCAAGCAUGAAACUGAAG